AUUGAACGCUGGCGGCAGGCCUAACACAUGCAAGUCGAACGGAAACAGGAAGAAGCUUGCUUCUUUGCUGACGAGUGGCGGGCGGGUGAGACAUGUCUGGGAAACUGCCUGAUGGAUGGGGAUAACUACUGGAAACGGUAGCUAAUACCGCAUAACGUCGCAAGACCAAAGAGGGGGACCUUCAGGCCUCUUGCCAUCCGCUGUGCCCAGAUGGCUUUCGCUUGUUGGUGGGGUAACGGCUAACCAGGGAGACGGUCCCUAGCUAGUCUGAGAGGAUGACCAGCCACCUGGGACCUGGGACCCGGCCCAGCCUCUAACGGAGGGCAGAGGAGGGGAACAUUGACAAUGGGCGAAAGCCUGAUGCAGCCAUGCCGCGUGUAUGAAGAAGGCCUUCGGGUUGUAAAGUACUUUCAGCGGGGAGGAAGAGAGUAAAGUUUAUACCUUUGCUUAUUGACGUUACCCGCAGAAGAAGCACCGGCUAACUCCGUG
rnacentral:rRNA from 1 species